rnacentral:rRNA from 1 species
GGGCCCGCACAAGCGGUGGAGCAUGUGGUUUAAUUCGAUGCAACGCGAAGAACCUUACCAGGGUUUGACAUCCUGCGAAUCUCUUGGAAACAGGAGAGUGCCUUCGGGAACCGAGUGACAGGUGCUGCAUGGCUGUCGUCAGCUCGUGUCGUGAGAUGUUGGGUUAAGUCCCGUAACGAGCGCAACCCUUGUCCUUAGUUGCCAGCACCUCGGGUGGGAACUCUAAGGAGACUGCCGGUGACAAACCGGAGGAAGGUGGGGACGACGUCAAAUCAUCACGGCCCUUACGUCCUGGGCUACACACGUGCUACAAUGGUCGGUACAGAGGGCAGCCACACCGCAAGGUGGAG